UACGUAGGGUGCAAGCGUUGCCCGGAUUUAUUGGGCGUAAAGGGCGCGUAGGCGGCUCGGCACGUCCGUUGUGAAAUCGCCCGGCUCAACUGGGCGGGGUCAGCGGAUACGGCCGAGCUUGAGCAAGCUAGGGGGCAAUGGAAUUCCCGGUGUAGUGGUGGAAUGCGUAGAUAUCGGGAGGAACACCAGUGGCGAAGGCGGUUGCCUGGAGCUUUGCUGACGCUGAUGCGCGAAAGCGUGGGGAGCGAUCCGG
rnacentral:rRNA from 1 species